rnacentral:rRNA from 1 species
UACGUAAGAGGCUAGUGUUAUUCAUCUUUAAUAGGUUUAAAGGGUACUUAGACGGUAAAAAUUUUACCUUUAGAAAGGUACGUUUUUACUAGAGUUUUAUGUGAGAAGGUAGUACUUGAGGAGUAGAGAUGAAAUUUGUUGAUACCUUAGGGACUGAUAAAGGCGAAGGCAACCUUUUAUGUAAAAACUGACGUUGAAGGACGAAGGCACAGAUAACUAACGGG